rnacentral:rRNA from 1 species
CACUCCUGCGGGAGGCAGCAGUGGGGAAUUUUGGACAAUGGGCGAAAGCCUGAUCCAGCAAUGCCGCGUGUGUGAAGAAGGCCUUCGGGUUGUAAAGCACUUUUGUCCGGAAAGAAAUCCUUGGCUCUAAUACAGUCGGGGGAUGACGGUACCGGAAGAAUAAGCACCGGCUAACUACGUGCCAGCAGCCGCGGUAAUACGUAGGGUGCGAGCGUUAAUCGGAAUUACUGGGCGUAAAGCGUGCGCAGGCGGUUUGCUAAGACCGAUGUGAAAUCCCCGGGCUCAACCUGGGAACUGCAUUGGUGACUGGCAGGCUAGAGUAUGGCAGAGGGGGGUAGAAUUCCACGUGUAGCAGUGAAAUGCGUAGAGAUGUGGAGGAAUACCGAUGGCGAAGGCAGCCCCCUGGGCCAAUACUGACGCUCAUGCACGAAAGCGUGGGGAGCAAACAGGAUUAGAUACCCGUGUAGUCCCAUG